UUCAAACCAUAGCAUGGAGCAAGGAAAGAAACACAAGAAGCAGCAGACAGUGGGGAAUGGGCCUGUCCUUUACUCCAAAGAAAAAUCACUAAGCUGGUCAUCUGCCUAGACUAUGCAACAUCCUAUUAUAUUCCUUCCAUGUGCAAGGUGCUUGGGACAGAGUUAAGAACAAGAGGGACAAUUCUAAGAAAGAGGUGGUCUGAAGAAAGAUAUAAAACAAGACAAGAAAUAAAUAAGUUCAAAUUUUGAAUGAAUGCUAUGAAGAAAAUAAAUGGACAGGUAAUAUGCAGGGGAUGGAGGGGAAGAACAACCAUAAAAUAGAAUAACCAGGGAAGGGCCGUCUCCUUCUGUUGAGCAUUUACUAUGUCACACAUUCAGCUAAUCAUACUACACAUGUUAUUUCUAAUAUUCCACCAUAAUCCCUCUAAGUAUUAUGUCUAAUUUGCAGAAGAUAAAACUGAGGGUUAGAUAUUUAAAUUAACUUUUCAAAAGUCACACACCUAGAAAAUGGCCAUGGUGAAUACAUAUCUAAGGUUGUCUAACUCAAAAUCUUCAUGAUUUCUGCCUUGUGUUGUUUUUCAUUAUUAUUAUUAUUAUUAUUAUUAUUUCA